AACCUGUGCAGUCUGCAGGUCGACCUACAACGCGCACGAUCGUCGUCCGCUUAUCUUCUCCAGCUGCGGCCACACCUUCUGCGAGGAAUGCCUUAGGACGGAGAACCGCAAGAGUGUGUUCCGGUGCCCUUCUUGCCGGCAGGACCGCGACCAGUUCUGGACGCUGAAGCCCAACUUCGCGCUGCUCGACCUGCUCGAAGCGCUCCAGACAAGCGAGUAAGAGGCAGCAGAUUAUUAUGAUACAGAGUAAACGCGCUGCAGCAUCAUGAAGGAGAAUUGAAGCCCUAAACACAAACACACACAAUGUUUGUGGAAACCUCACGUUGGCAGUGUGAUUAUGCGGUAUCCGUGAAUUGUGGUCACCUACAUUUAUAUAAGAAGUACAGCUUAUUAAGUGAUUAUGUAUAGUUUAUUAUUGUAUAAUAUUCAUGGGAAAUAUUAUGCAGGCACAUCACAUUUAUUUACUCAGUUGAUUUUCAAAGAAUCUAAAUGGAUUCUGACUUUUUGUCAUCCAUACAUAUGGUCAUUGACUGUCCCAAAACCUAAAGAUAGUCCCUGUUAACAAAACUAAAAAGGUUUCACAGAUAAAACUCGAUUGCAAUAUCUCUUUAGGCUGUAAGAAAAGGGAAAAUCUUGCAACUGGAGCACCAAGAGAAAUCUGGAAGAAAGGGUGUUGCAUUAACAUUAAUUUCUACACCUGAACCAUCGGCUUUAGGUCCAACAUCAACAACAGUUUCAGAGCCAGCACCAGCCUCUCCGUCAGGCAAAGCUAAGGCCUGUUGCGGAUGCUGUUGCAGAAGACUGACCUGAUGAGAUGAGAUACUUAUAUGAACAUGAACAACGAAGGUCAUUGGCUCUGCUAAAAACCCACAGGGACUAAAUUACUGGUAUUACCUUUAGCAUUAUUAACAUUAUUAUUAACAUUAAGAAGUAGGAAAUGAAUAUUUUUUAAUUAUUAAUAUAUGUGUAGUUUUGAUAAGCUACUUAGUGCAGUCUUCCUUACCUUUUCCAGAGUUUUUAAACAGUCUUGUAGAGCAGCAGUUUCACAUGAAAAUUAUAACUCUCUGCCUCUCUCUCUCUCUCUUUCUCUUUCUCUCUCUCUCUCUCUCUCUCUCUCUCUCUCUCUCUCUCUCUCUCUCACUCUCUCUCUCUCUCUCCCACACACACACAUAUGUACAUAUAUACUAAUAUAUUUGUGUGUAUCUGAAUAUUUACAUAUAUGAUAUAUAUGUAUGUAUGUAUAUGUGUGUGUGCGUGCGUGGCAUUUCUUUUCUCAAAGAGAUAACUAACACAUAUCCACACACACAUAAAUGCAUGUAGGCACACACACACGCGGUUAUCGAUGUGUUCCCUUCAUAAAUGAGCAUGACGGUGUUUGUCAUUUUCAUUUUAUAAACGUCUUGUUAUUAUAUGUAUUUCCAUCUUGGUUAUAUUUUAUCCUUUAGAUGAUUUUUAUGUUUUACGUUAUUGAAAUCGUCCUUUAGCUUUUUAGACACGUCGAUGACGUUAGUACUUAUAAGAGGCUUUAUUUUUCAAUGGUUUUUGAUUAUUUGUCUUAAACUGUUAACUAUGUACCGUCAGUUUUCCAUAUUCUAAUCAUGUAUAUUUAUAAAAUUAGUGAAAAUGAUGGCAGUGAUGUCAGCAAGACGCCGCUAUAUAUACGGAACCGCCAUGGCAAUAAAGAGAGAUCUAUGUGAA